rnacentral:ncRNA from 2 species
CCGCACCCGCGUGACUGGCGACAGGAUGGAGUACCAUCGGGAAGCGCAGGGCUGAACUGCCGCAUCGCCUGGGCACCCCUC